UACGUAGGUGGCUAGCGUUGUCCGGAUUUACUGGGCGUAAAGAGCGCGCAGGCGGUCGUUCAAGUCGAGUGUGAAAGCCCCCGGCUCAACUGGGGAGGGUCACUCGAUACUGAUCGACUCGAAGGCAGGAGAGGGAAGCGGAAUUCCCGGUGUAGUGGUGAAAUGCGUAGAUAUCAGGAGGAACACCUGUGGCGAAAGCGGCUCACUGGACCAUAACUGACGCUGAUGCACGAAAGCUAGGGGAGCAAACAGG
rnacentral:rRNA from 1 species